rnacentral:rRNA from 1 species
AGAGCGAACGCUGGCGGCAGGCCUAACACAUGCAAGUCGAGCGCCCAGCAAUGGGAGCGGCAGACGGGAUAGUAACACGUGGGAACGUACCUUUCAGUUCGGAACAACCCAGGGAAACUUGGGCUAAUACCGAAUACGCCCGUAAGGGGAAAGAUUUAUCGCUGAAAGAUCGGCCCGCGUCUGAUUAGCUAGUUGGUGAGGUAAUGGCUCACCAAGGCGACGAUCAGUAGCUGGUCUGAGAGGAUGAUCAGCAUCACUGGGACUGAGACACGGCCCAGACUCCUACGGGAGGCAGCAGUGGGGAAUAUUGGACAAUGGGCGCAAGCCUGAUCCAGCCAUGCCGCGUGGAUGAUGAAGGCCCUAGGGUUGUAAAGUCCUUUCGGCGGGGAAGAUAAUGACGGUACCCGCAGAAGAAGCCCCGGCUAACUUCGUGCCAGCAGCCGC